AUUGAACGCUGGCGGCAGGCCUAACACAUGCAAGUCGAACGAGUGGCGGACGGGUGAGUAAUGUCUGGGAAACUGCCUGAUGGAGGGGGAUAACUACUGGAAACGGUAGCUAAUACCGCAUACCAUCGGAUGUGCCCAGAUGGGAUUAGCUAGUUGGUGGGGUAAAGGCUCACCUAGGCGACGAUCCCUAGCUGGUCUGAGAGGAUGACCAGCCACACUGGAACGGAGCCACGGUCCAGACUCCUACGGGAGGCAGCAGUGGGUAAGAUUGCAUAAUGGGCGCAAGCCUGCUGCAUCCAUGCCGCGUGUAUGAAGAAGGCCUUCGGGUUGUAAAGUACUUUCAGCGAGGAGGCGUUACUCGCAGAAGAAGCACCGGCUAACUCCGUGCCAGCAGCCGCGGUAAUUC
rnacentral:rRNA from 1 species